GACGAACGCUGGCGGCGUGCUUAACACAUGCAAGUCGAACGGAAAGGCCCUGCUUUUGUGGGGUGCUCGAGUGGCGAACGGGUGAGUAACACGUGAGUAACCUGCCCUUGACUUUGGGAUAACUUCAGGAAACUGGGGCUAAUACCGGAUAGGAGCUCCUGCUGCAUGGUGGGGGUUGGAAAGUUUCGGCGGUUGGGGAUGGACUCGCGGCUUAUCAGCUUGUUGGUGGGGUAGUGGCUUACCAAGGCUUUGACGGGUAGCCGGCCUGAGAGGGUGACCGGCCCACAUGGGGCCUGAGAUACGCCCCAGUCUCCUACGGGGGGCAGCGGGGGGAAGUAUUACCCAGGGGGCGGACGCGGGUGGCAGCGCCCCCGGGGGCGGGAUGCCGUCUUUCGGGUUAAAAACCGCUUCCGCCUGAGACGAAGCGGGUGUGAGGGUAAGGGAAAAAGAAGCACCGGCUAACUCCGUG
rnacentral:rRNA from 1 species